rnacentral:rRNA from 1 species
GAUGAACGCUGGCGGCGUGCCUAAUACAUGCAAGUCGAGCGAACGGACGAGAAGCUUGCUUUUCUGAUGUUAGCGGCGGACGGGUGAGUAACACGUGGAUAACCUACCUAUAAGACUGGGAUAACUUCGGGAAACCGGAGCUAAUACCGGAUAAUAUUUUGAACCGCAUGGUUCAAAAGUGAAAGACGGUCUUGCUGUCACUUAUAGAUGGAUCCGCGCUGCAUUAGCUAGUUGGUAAGGUAACGGCUUACCAAGGCAACGAUGCAUAGCCGACCUGAGAGGGGGAUCGGCCACACUGGAACUGAGACACGGUCCAGACUCCUACGGGAGGCAGCAGUAGGGAAUCUUCCGAAAUGGGCGAAAGCCUGACGGAGCAACGCCGCGUGAGUGAUGAAGGUCUUCGGAUCGUAAAACGCUGUUAUUAGGGAAGAACAUAUGUGUAGUAACUGUGCACAUCUUGACGGUACCUAAUCAGAAAGCCACGGCUAACUACGUG